GCUUAAAAGGCACCACUGAUAUGGCUAACAGAACAAACUCCUCUGAGUACUUCUGGUCUUAUGAAUAUUACUGGGAUUACAUAGAUCCAAUUCCGGUAGAUGGAAGCAAGUUGAAGGUUAAUAAAUACUCCAUCGUCAUUGCCUUUUGGGUCGGCCUUGCUGCCUUCGUGACGUUUCUUUUCCUUGUUUUAUUGUGUAUGUCCUGCUCUGGAUCAACGCCAGCAAACACAGACAUGAACGGGAGUGCAAGGUCCGGCAGGAGCUCAUUAGGCAGUGACUGCACUCGCACUGUUUAACGGGUACGAGAACACCCAGAGCAGCUGCCGGGAUGGAGUGCUUGCCACCAGAACGUGUUGGAAUCACUGUCCAGUCCCAGCGGUUUGAAGUUUGGGAAUGCUGUGGGACAUGUUCAAGGUGUCAGUAAUGUUUUUUUAAAGAAAGGCACCAAGGAUAAAUAAAA